rnacentral:misc_RNA from 1 species
UCCGGAUUAACUCCGGCAGUUUCCUUAGAGUUCCCACCAUUACGUGCUGGCAACAAAGGAUGAGGGUUGCGCUCGUUGCGGGACUUAACCCAACAUCUCACGACACGAGCUGACGACAGCCAUGCAGCACCUGUGCAUUGUCCAGCCGAACUGAAGGACUCCAUCUCUGGAGUCCGCGACAAGCAUGUCAAGGCCUGGUAAGGUUCUUCGCGUUGCCUCGAAUUAAACCACAUGUUCCACCGCUUGUGCGGGUCCCCGUCAAUUUCUUUGAGUUUUAACCUUGCGGCCGUACUCCCCAGGCGGGGUGCUUAACGCGUUAGCUACGCCACUGAGACUAAUGUCCCAACGGCUAGCACCCAUCGUUUAGGGCGUGGACUAC